UUUAAAGUUUCUAGAAAAUAAUUUUUGCGAUUUUUCAAUAUCAUUUACCUAGCAAUCGAAAGGAUUCAAAAUCAAUAAUUUUUAACGGCUGAAAAUAAAAAUCCUAUAAAAAGUGGUGAUAUAGCACUAAAAUUUUCGAUCAGAAAUAUAGAUCUUGUUGUAGCUAGUAUAAAGAAUUUUCUAUCAAAAUUUCAUCUGAUUUGAAUACUUCUACACCGUUAAACUUGAAAACGGCAGAUAUCAACCAUUAAAAAUUAUAGAUUUUGAAUCCUUUCGAUCACUAGGUAAAUAAUAUCGAAAAAUCGCAAAAAUUAUUUUCUAGAAACUUCAAAUGCGCUAGAUCAAGUCUAACGGAGCCGAUCGUCGAUUCGAAAAUUCCAUCAUCGAAAACGGCUGAGGAGCACGGAGGCCUCCGUGCUCCUGAGAGCACAGCAGCCCUGCUCUAUAUAUAUAUAUAUAUAGUCCGGCUGGAAUACUAUCGAUAGCAUCAAGGAUUUGAUACUAUCGAGUUUUCCACCGUUAGAUUUAACCAUUUGAUUAUUUUUACCCGUUGGAUUAUACUAUUCAACCAACCACCCACUCAACCCUAGGGGACCCACAUCAUCCUAACCAUACAUUUCUCAAUCUAAGGGCUAAAAAACUAAUAGCACCAAUAACUUGGUGCUAUUGAUUGUAUUCCAGCCUAGCUCUUCAUAUAUAUAUAUUGAAUUGAGCUAGAAUACUCUCAAAAGCACCAACCCCUUGAUGCUUUUGAGUUUGUAGCUCUUGGAUCUAUUUCUUGAUUACUAAUAACUUUUGAAUCAAAUACUAUUCCACCUACCACCACCUACUACCACCAUCUCAACCCUACAUCUCUCCAUCCAAUGGCUAAAAACUCAAAAGCACCAACCCCUUGGUACUUUUGAGAGUAUUCUAGUUCAACUCUAUAUAUAU
rnacentral:lncRNA from 1 species